rnacentral:misc_RNA from 1 species
AACGCACAUUGCGCCCUCUGGUAUUCCGGAGGGCAUGCCUGUUCGAGCGCCAUGUAAAGAUAUAUCAAGCACUGCUUGGCUUUGGGCCUCUCCGCCCCCGUCACAGGGGGCGGGCCCUAAAUACGUCGGCGGCGGCCACUGGCCUCGAGCGUAGUAGAUUAUUCCGUCUACGAGCGCCCUUGACCGCCCGCUUCUAGACCCCAAAACAUACCCAUGACAUUGACCUCGGAUCAGGUAGGGAUACCCGCUGAACUUAA